rnacentral:rRNA from 1 species
AUGUGGACCUGUCUUCGUCAGCGCUAUGAGCCCUCUGGUGAUGCCUUAUACCUUUCUGUGGUUCGUCAGGACCAUGCUCUUCAGCAGGGUGACUCUACUGUUGAUGACUUUUAUGCACAGAGUUCUGCUAUCUGGCGCCAGCUUGAUUCUCUCCGCAGUGCUGGUUGUCGUACUUGCCCCUGCUGCCAGGCUUUCCAGGCCGAUUUGGAGUUUCAUCGCGUCUACGAGUUCCUGUCUCGGCUCCGUAAGGAGUUUGAGCCCCGGCGUGCUCAGUUGUUUGCUCGUGGCCGUAUUUCUCUCAUGGAGGCGCUUUCAGAGAUUCGUGCUGAGGAGACUCGCCUACGUGGUGCUGGUUUGCUGGAGGUUCCCUCUGUGCUCGCUACUCGGGCUUCUUCCACUCCACCUGCUGCACCGCCCCAUUCUCGCUCGAGUGCUCCGCCGCUCUUGCCCACUCCUUCUGGAGGCUCAGGUCGCCCCCGUCCACACUGUGACUACUGCAACAAUGAUGGUCAUAUUGAGUCCCAGUGCUACACAAAGCGGAAACACCUGCGCAAGGCGCGAUCAUCCUCCUAAGGGACUUCGUCA